AACGAACGCUGGCGGCGUGCUUAACACAUGCAAGUCGAACGCGAAAGGGACUUCGGUCCUGAGUAAAGUGGCGCACGGGUGAGUAGCGCGUAGAUAACCUGUCUUCAUGUCUGGAAUAAUACGCCGAAAGGGGUACUAAUACCGGAUAUUCUUGCUUUUCAUAAGUUAUGCAAGCAAAGGUGGCCUCUGCAUAUGCUACUGCAUGAAGAGGGGUCUGCGUACCAUUAGCUAGUAGGUGGGGUAAUGGCCUACCUAGGCGACGAUGGUUAGCGGGUCUGAGAGGAUGAUCCGCCACACUGGCACUGGAACACGGGCCAGACUCCUACGGGAGGCAGCAGUGAGGAAUAUUGCGCAAUGGGGGAAACCCUGACGCAGCGACGCCGCGUGAGUGAGGAAAGGCCUUCGGGUCGUAAAGCUCUGUCAAGAGGAAAGAAGUGUACAAUGGCUAAUACCUGUUGUAUUUGACGGUACCUCUAAAGGAAGCACCGGCUAACUCCGUGCCAGCAGCUGC
rnacentral:rRNA from 1 species